rnacentral:rRNA from 1 species
CGCACGGGUGAGUAACACGUAUGCAACCUGCCUACCACAGCCGGAUAAUCGGGAGAAAUUCCGUCUAAUACGGCAUAAUGCAUCGACGGGACAUCCUGUUGGUGCCAAAGGUUGAUUCCGGUGGCGGAUGGGCAUGCGUCGCAUUAGUUAGUUGGCGGUGUAACGGACCACCAAGACGACGAUGCGUAGGGGUUCUGAGAGGAAGGUCCCCCACACUGGUACUGAGACACGGACCAGACUCCUACGGGAGGCAGCAG